UACGUAGGGUGCGAGCGUUGUCCGGAAUUAUUGGGCGUAAAGAGCUCGUAGGCGGUCUGUUACGUCCGCUGUGAAAACCCAGGGCUUAACCCUGGGCUUGCAGUGGAUACGGGUAGACUAGAGGCAGGUAGGGGAGAAUGGAAUUCCCGGUGUAGCGGUGAAGUGCGCAGAUAUCGGGAGGAACACCGGUGGCGAAGGCGGUUCUCUGGGCCUGACCUGACGCUGAGGAGCGAAAGCGUGGGGAGCGAACAGG
rnacentral:rRNA from 1 species